rnacentral:rRNA from 1 species
GAUUUGACGGGGGCCCGCACAAGCGGUGGAGCAUGUGGUUUAAUUCGAAGCAACGCGAAGUACCUUACCAGGUCUUGACUUCCUUUGACCACUCUGGAGACAGAGCUAUCCCUUCGGGGACAUAGUGACAGGUGGUGCAUGGUUGUCGUCAGCUCGUGUCGUGAGAUGUUGGGAUAUGUCCCGCAACGAGCGCAACCCUUGAUUUUAGUUGCCAGCAUUUAGUUGGGCACUCUAAAGU